rnacentral:vault_RNA from 1 species
GCGCUGGCUUAGCUCAGUGGUUACUUCUCAUGAACGCUUCUCAUUUGAAACGAACACCCUCCCCUCACCGGGAUCGACCCACGGGCGCUGUCCAGCGUUUUG